rnacentral:rRNA from 1 species
GCCUACGGGGGGCAGCAGUGAGGAAUAUUGGUCAAUGGGCGCGAGCCUGAACCAGCCAAGUCGCGUGAGGGAUGACGGCCCUACGGGUUGUAAACCUCUUUUGCCGGGGAGCAACGGGCGCCACGUGUGGCGCCACUGAGAGUACCCGGAGAAAAAGCAUCGGCUAACUCCGUGCCAGCAGCCGCGGUAAUACGGAGGAUGCGAGCGUUAUCCGGAUUUAUUGGGUUUAAAGGGUGCGUAGGCGGUCCGGAAAGUCAGCGGUAAAAGCCCGGGGCUCAACCCCGGCGAGCCGUUGAAACUGUCGG